rnacentral:rRNA from 1 species
AUUGAACGCUGGCGGCAUGCCUUACACAUGCAAGUCGAACGGUAACAGGUUAAGCUGACGAGUGGCGAACGGGUGAGUAAUGUAUCGGAACGUGCCCAGUCGUGGGGGAUAACUGCUCGAAAGAGCAGCUAAUACCGCAUACGACCUGAGGGUGAAAGCGGGGGAUCGCAAGACCUCGCCAGAUUCGAGGGGCCGAUAUCAGAUUAGGUAGUUGGUGGGGUAAAGGCCUACCAAGCCUACGAUCUGUAGCUGGUCUGAGAGGACGACCAGCCACACUGGGACUGAGACACGGCCCAGACUCCUACGGGAGGCAGCGGUGGGGAAUUUUGGACAAUGGACGCAAGUCUGAUCCAGCCAUGCCGCGUGCGGGAAGAAGGCCCUCGGGUUGUAAACCGCUUUUGUCAGGGAAGAAAAGGUUCUGGUUAAUACCUGGGACUCAUGACGGUACCUGAAGAAUAAGCACCGGCUAACUACGUGCCAGCAGCCGCCGUAACAC